rnacentral:lncRNA from 1 species
UGUGUUGCAAUAAACUAUGCGAAUGCUAUGAAAUAAUUGCAGAUAACAUAAAAUAUUGCUAAUGUUUUUGUUACUAUGCAAUAUUUCUAACAUAAGAUGACAAAAGUAUAUUUUAUAAAUUAAUUAACUCGAAAAACAGUUCGUUUAUGAAGAAAUAUGCAAUAUAAGUAUUUCUAAGUACAUCUGAUAGCAUAAUUUUAUCGAUUAGUUUGAAUAAAUAAAGUAUAUGUGUAUCGAUUAACUGAUGCCCAAAUUAAAUCCGAAUAAAUAUAACCAUUUUCGUGACCAUUCUAAAUAUGUAUAUCUAUGCAAAAAUAAUAUCGUAACAAAAAUAAUUGUGUUAAAUGAUGAUGAUGAUGAUGAUGAUGGCGGCGGCGGUGGUACUGUACAGCGAUUGUGUUACAUAACCGGUUCGACUGUUGAAUUUAAUGCUGUUUAUUUUAUAUUAUCAAUUCAAUUUAAAAUUAUGUAUUGAAGGAUUUAGAAGUGCAUUGUUAAGUAAAAAAAAAAUUGUUAUUGGAGAGAUUUAAAUUAUGACGCAUUUUUCGGUAAUCUUUUGUUGGAACUUGCUCUGCUUUACUUUGACAAGUUACGAAUUUAAUGAGAUUAUUAAAUUAAGAAAGCUAUAUUAGAAUAUUAAAUAUUGAUCAC